rnacentral:misc_RNA from 1 species
UAAAUGUGUUCCCAAAAACUAGUAAUUUUAUAAGCAUAUAGGAAUCACAAGAAUUGCUCCAUGGUGGAUUGGUUGGCAUUUAUGAAUUGUGAAAAAGUGCUAAGGCUCAGCAAAUGGCAGAGCAGAAAUAGAUAGCUAAAGUUCCCUUGGAAUCUGAGGGACCUAAAACUUGAAAGGCUUAGCUGUGCUCAGGUGACUUACGCGGAACCUACACUUUUCACUUUUUCUCAGGACUCUACCUCCACAAAAGUAGAAAGUGCUACAUUUGUUUAUAAACUAUAUGCUUUUUUAAAUGCUGAUUUAGAUUAGCCUCCAG